rnacentral:rRNA from 1 species
GACGUAGGGCGCGAGCGUUGUCCGGAUUUAUUGGGCGUAAAGAGCUCGUAGGCGGCUUGUCGCGUCGACUGUGAAAACCCGCGGCUCAACUGCGGGCUUGCAGUCGAUACGGGCAGACUAGAGUGCUGUAGGGGAGACUGGAAUUCCUGGUGUAGCGGUGAAAUGCGUAGAUAUCAGGAAGAACACCGGUGGCGAAGGCGGCUCUCUGGGCCUUACCUGACGCUGAGGAGCGAAAGCGUGGGUAGCGAACAGG